rnacentral:rRNA from 1 species
AGGCAGCAGUGGGGAAUAUUGCGCAAUGGGCGAAAGCCUGACGCAGCGACGCCGCGUGAGGGAUGAAGGUCUUCGGAUCGUAAACCUCUGUCAGGAGGGAAGAAGUGGUUAUAUGCGAAUAGUGUAUGACUUUGACGGUACCUCCAAAGGAAGCACCGGCUAACUCCGUGCC